GGGGCUUUUUUCGUUUGGGAGGUGUCCGGUUCUGGUACGGGUGUCCUAUCCGCCGCGUAACGGCGAACGGCACCAGAGCCGCUGCAUUGGAAAAGAGAGACACACACCGAGUGACGGCAGUCUCUACAAACCUGUGAGGAGCAGACGGGGUCCCACUGGUUGCAGAUGUUGGGUGUUAGUAAUCCGGUGUAAUCCAAUGAUUAUGAGUGAUUAUGACACAUUAGCUCUGACCUACCGGGAUACCACCGUGACACCGGUUAUCCAAAACACACCACGAAGAAGCCCCAGCCCGCCUCCUGCCAGCAUCUCUGAUCUCUAUUGAUGGCCUGAAUGUUGGAGACGGUGUCGGAUCAUUUCAUUGCUUUAUGAUUACAGCAGAAAAGUGGAAAUGUCUUGCCCCGCUUUCUUCCUCUCCGUUCUCCUUUUCGGCUGAGCAUCUACAUCGUCCCCAAAAAAACCCCACAUCUGCCUUUUUGUUAUUACUUAAUUUAAGUUUUUCAUGUUUCCACUGAUGUGUGACUUUUCUCUUUGUCCAACCUUGUAAAAUGUAGCCAAUAAAGCUCC